GCGGUUGUGGAGAAGCGGUUAACUCGGUAGAUUGUGGCUCUAUUAUGCGUGGGUUCGAAUCCCAUCAAUCGCCCCA
rnacentral:tRNA from 1 species